rnacentral:rRNA from 1 species
UACGUAGGCAGCGAGCGUUGUUCGGAAUUACUGGGCGUAAAGAGUGUGUAGGUGGUGCUCUAAGUUCGGUGUGAAAUCUCCCGCUUAACUGGGAGGGUGCGCCGAAAACUGGAGUGCUCGAGCGUGGGAGAGGAAAGCGGAAUUCCAGGUGUAGCGGUGAAAUGCGCAGAUAUCAGGAGGAACACCGAUGGCGAAGGCAGCUCGCUGGGACGGUACUGACGCUGGAGGCGACGAAAGCGUGGGGAGCAAACAGG